GUGGGGAAUAUUGCACAAUGGGGGAAACCCUGAUGCAGCGACGCCGCGUGAGCGAUGAAGUAUUUCGGUAUGUAAAGCUCUAUCAGCAGGGAAGAAAAUGACGGUACCUGACUAAGAAGCCCCGGCUAACUACGUGCCAGCAGCCGCGGUAAUACGUAGGGGGCAAGCGUUAUCCGGAUUUACUGGGUGUAAAGGGAGCGUAGACGGCAUGGCAAGCCAGAUGUGAAAGCCCGGGGCUCAACCCCGGGACUGCAUUUGGAACUGUCAGGCUAGAGUGUCGGAGAGGAAAGCGGAAUUCCUAGUGUAGCGGUGAAAUGCGUAGAUAUUAGGAGGAACACCAGUGGCGAAGGCGGCUUUCUGGACGGUGACUGACGUUGAGGCUCGAAAGUGUGGGUAUCAAACAGGA
rnacentral:rRNA from 1 species